rnacentral:rRNA from 1 species
GCCGCGGUAAUACGAAGGGACCUAGCGUAGUUCGGAAUUACUGGGCUUAAAGAGUUCGUAGGUGGUUAAAAAAGUUGGUUGUGAAAUCCCGAAGCUUAACUUCGGAACUGCAAUCAAAACUUUUUAGCUAGAGUAUGAUAGAGGAAAGCAGAAUUUCUAGUGUAGAGGUGAAAUUCGUAGAUAUUAGAAAGAAUACCAAUUGCGAAGGCAGCUUUCUGGAUCAUUACUGACGCUGAGGAACGAAAGCAUGGGUAGCGAAGAGGAUUAGAUACCCUCGUAGUCCAUGCCGUAAACGAUGUGUGUUAGACGUUGGAAAUUUAUUUUCAGUGUCGCAGCGAAAGCAGUAAACACACCGCCUGGGGAGUACGACCGCAAGGUUAAAACUCAAAUGAAUUGACGGGGACCCGCACAAGUAGUGGAGCAUGUGGUUUAAUUCGAAGAUACGCGCAGAACCUUACCAACACUUGACAUGUUCGUCGCGGCUCUAAGAGAUUAGAGCUUUCGGUUCGGCCGGACGAAACACAGGUGCUGCAUGGCUGUCGUCAGCUCGUGUCGUGAGAUGUUGGGUUAAGUCCCGCAACGAGCGCAACCCUCACUUUUAGUUGCCAUCAUUUAGUUGGGCACUCUGAAAGAACUGCCAGUGAUAAGCUGGAGGAAGGUGGGGAUGACGUCAAGUCCUCAUGGCCCUUACGUGUUGGGCUACACACGUGCUACAAUGGCAUUUACAAUAGGAAGCAAGAUGGCGACGUCAAGCAAAUCCUAAAAAGAUGCCUCAGUUCGGAUUGUACUCUGCAACUCGAGUACAUGAAGCUGGAAUUACUAGU